UGAAAUAAAGCCUUGACAAUCCCAAAUGCUACCCUACAAACAUCAAAUGCAAGCCAAACAAGUAAAUGCAACUCUUCACUCGCUGUUUGUGUUACCUUCUUACAUAACCUUCUGUUACAAGGCAUUCACAGUAGAAUCUUUAUGUGAAAUCAACUUGGUACAUACAAAGUUUGUUCUCCAGCUUAUAUACUGUAUGAACAAGAAUUGUUGGCAACUCUUUUUUACUUCAAAGCUUCAGUUGAUUUUGUAAUUUUAAUUUGAACAUUUGAUACGUCAAGAGUAAAUGCAACUGUAAUAAACAUGAUACCAGAAACUAUUCUUGGAAUGCAUAUCUUUGGUGUUGAGAAUAGGUCACACAACUUGAGUUAAUUAAAAUCUCCAUUUCUUUUUGCUACUUUCAACUUCUCUACAAAAGUAUUGUAACCACCAUUUCCCUUUUAGUGUCUUCAGGUUUUCUACAUAGCUCCUAAACAAGUGUGGUCAGUGUAGAGCUGUGUUUGCUUCUACAUUAUGACAAGGUAAUGCUAGUGUGCGGUGAGCGAGCAUGCUCUGUGUACAAUUAAGCAAAGAGUUGCUGAAGGUUGGAACGGAAUAUCGUAUGUAGUGUUGAAUGCAAUCUGAACCUCCUUUUACUUUCAGCCCUCAGCUUGGUUCUUCUUCCUCUUUCCUUUUUGUUCACAAUUUUUUCUUAUGUUUUUAUUAAUUUCGGUGUUAUUCAUUUUUGCUCUUUUUGGGUUUUUAAAACACCAACAGAGCUUCAAUAUUGCAAUUGAUCAUUGAGAUGUUGAAUUGUCUGCCUUUUAUUUUCAUUAAGGAGUUAAAAGUUUAAUUGUAUCAUUUGAAAUUGGGUUUUAAGAUAUCAAAUAAAGUUUGAUUUCAGGGAUGGACCAAACAAUUUGAAAGUUCCGGGUAUACAUGAAAAGAACUACAUAGAAGUUGCUUGAUGAGUGCCUCACACUGAGAGGGUAAGUCAUGAAAAUCAGAAAAUUUCUUCACCUUUAUUUAUAUCAAUACUUAGGUGCAUCUUUGUUUCUUGCUUUGAUUUCCUAGAAUAGUAUUUUGAGUAUGAAAAAUGGGUCCUUCAGAGUGAAAUUGAUGUUUAUAAAUCAAAUUACCGAAUAUAUUUUUCAAAAAUAAAUAAUCAUCGGUGUAUAUGACUGGAGAAGAAACUCAGACAUCUGAGAAAAAUAUUCUUAUUGGGUUUUCAGUAGACGGGACCUUACUUAAAUUGACAUUUUCAUGCAAAUUAGUUGCACUCUUUGGUGCUUAUACGUGGGGUAGUAGGCUUAGUAGUUAUCUUUAUGCUUUAUGUAACACCUCUGGAUCUUCGAUGACUAUUUAUCAAAAUUGAAAUGUUUCCUCAUCUUAUUUCUUUUAAAAGGCUGAUUCUAUGUCCUCUAUAGUCAUGUUACAAUCAAUCGUCUGUCCAAUGGUGAGGAGCCAAAUUAUCUCUCUGCAAGUAUGGAAAUGAUACGUGGUACACCCGAUUCUUGACGAACUCGAGAGGCAAAGAGAAUGGUUGGGUGGCGAGGCAUCACUUCUUACAAGGUUUGAUGCUAUUUUAUUGGUUGGGUGGCAAGGCAUCACUUCUUACAAGGUUUGAUGCUAUUUUAUUGGUUGGGUGGCAAG
rnacentral:lncRNA from 1 species